rnacentral:rRNA from 1 species
AGAGUUUGAUCCUGGCUCAGGACGAACGCUGGCGGCGUGCCUAACACAUGCAAGUCGAGCGAGGUGUAUACACCUAGCGGCGGACGGGUGAGUAACACGUGGGUAACCUGCCUCAGAGAGGGGAAUAGCCUUCCGAAAGGAAGAUUAAUACCGCAUAAUAUACGCAUUUAGUAUUAUGAGCGUAUCAAAGGAGAAAUCCGCUUUGAGAUGGGCCCGCGGCGCAUUAGCUAGUUGGAGAGGUAACGGCUCACCAAGGCGACGAUGCGUAGCCGACCUGAGAGGGUGAUCGGCCACAUUGGAACUGAGACACGGUCCAGACUCCUACGGGAGGCAGCAGUGGGGAAUAUUGCACAAUGGGGGAAACCCUGAUGCAGCAACGCCGCGUGAAUGAUGAAGGCCUUCGGGUCGUAAGUUCUUUGAUUGGGGACGAUAAUGACGGU